rnacentral:tRNA from 1 species
UAGCUCAGUUGGUAGAGCAUGGUGUUUGCAACGCCAGUGUUGUGGGUUUGUUUCCCAC